CCCGAAAUUAGGCGCAGUGGUAACGCGUCGCAGUACGUCAAGUCCAUGAACUACAUCUUCGAGUCAAUCAUUGACCCUUGCAAUAGCUUGUAUCACUACAAGAUUAUGCGAAGAUCCCUAGUUCAAUUCUGGGUUUCGGCA